CUGUGAUUUUCCUGCUGCUUUCCUUCCUGAGCACAAUAAGUUCAAGAUGGCUAAUGCUGUUGUCUGGUUAUGCCAAGAACUUCCUAAGUGCCACUGGGCUUUCAUCAUGAAGACGGAUGGCAAAACCAUCAAAGAAGCUGCUAAAAUUGAACAGCUGUAGAAGUGAAGGCAGAUAACUGAAACAGAGAAGUUCUGUGGAAGGCAGAAGACUCACAGACAGACUGAACGUGAAAUCGAUCCCUCGGUUUGUUCAUAACAAUGAGAAAGAGAUUUCACAUAAUUCUGCUCAACAUAAAAAUACUGAAGGUGAAUGUAAAAGUAUUAACAUUAACAAAAAUGGGAUAAAAUACUGUUAUACCUACAAAGCCCUUUUCAACAUGGAUUGCCCUUUCUGGGAAAAACAGACUUGAGUGUCUUGUGGAUAAAUGGACCAGUUUUCUCCAUUUACAGCCAGUCCAUUCAUUCCUAGGCAUAGUGUGUGUAAUCUACUCACCAGCUGCUCUGUGAAAACACAUACCUACGAGUCUUCGUUGGGGCGGAAGCUGCACAGCUGUCUGAUCCGCAAAUCUGCACAGAAUCAUGUGUUCCUAAAAGAAAAAGCAAUAGAAUGUGGGUCUAUUUUAAUCUUCUGUUUCAAAACUGUAAAAAUUAUUAAAACUACUUUUCUGGAGAUCUACAGUUUAACUGAACAAAGUACUGUACAAGUAAUACGUCUUAAAGAAACACACUUUCAGGAAGUGGUACUUAGUAACAUUUCCCCCUUUCAAGGAGACUGUUCUCCUGACCCAGUUCUUAAGAAUGGAUGCAAGGAAAAGCCUCUGGCCACCUAGCCAGUUUCUUUGAGCAAAAGUAAGGUUACAGUGUGUGAUUAUCACAUGUUAAAUGAAAAGACCAAAAAGUCACUUCUAUUUUUCCUUUAAUAAAACUUAAAUCUCAGGAACAUGGUUCCAAGAAGACAGUUGAGGUGGCUUUUCUUCCUCCUGCCAGGGGAAAAGGAAGUACUGGGGAAGAUCAUCACUACGUGUGGGUUUUAUGGUUCUGUGGUUCUCUGGGAUACCCAGCCAAGUGCUGGCUGCUCGGACACUUUUCUGGCCUCUUCCCUUAUCCCUCCAGAGGAGAGGAAGCUGGCUCACUCACUCAAAACGGCUGCUGGAGGGGCAUCUACUUCGACUUUAAGGGCAACCAUAAGAAUAACCUGAGCGAGUGGGAGGAAAAUUAUUGUUCAGCUUGACCAUUUUAGGAAAGACUGCUUUCAUGCAAAAAGAACAAGCCUUCAUAGGGGCAGAGAGCUGAUGAGUCCACACAGGGCUCUGAAAUCUGUGAGCAGCCAAAGGUGAGUGCUCGGGCAGAGUGGGGGUACUGCCGUACUCCCAUGACGGCUGUUCACUUGGAACAGAUGCAGGGUCCCUGUGUGUAAAUGAUCUCACCUGGAAGCUUAGCCAAAGGCUUGAACUCUGAUUGCUCAUUUGUCCCCUUUAGUCUUUUGUACAUUCAACUUGAGGCUUCCAUUUUUUAAAAGAAGGUAAUUGAGGUGACUAUGUGAUCUUGGUUCUUUUGUGAAGGGUUACUUCUGUCUCAACUUUUAUGCAUUAAAACAACAAUAUUGUAAUGCUCACUAUAAAAUUUAGUGGCCAAUGGAUAGGACACUAAUAAAUGGUUCAAAUGAGUAACUUGUAUUAAGCAGCCAUGAACUGGCAUCAACAAAAGGGCAGAGGAAAGAUUUAGAAUUAUCGAAUUUGAAGAAAAGGCCAGAAAAAGCAUGCCCUUUGUCUUCACUGUGUUUGAAAGUCAAGAUCUCUUAACGUUGAGGCAAUCACCUUUGGUGUCUUCACCACAUUUUACUGGAAUUAUUUGUGGAUGUGUUCUCUCCACUAGAAGUUAAAUUCUGGAAAGGGAAGGCACAGAGCAACAAGUCAGUUCAAGGUUUUCUGGCUAAACUGAACUGUGGAGAAAAACACUUCCAGUGUAACUCUCAAGAUAUUUGGACACUGCCUCCGUUUAGUUCUGCCUGGCAGCCCACCUAUCAUGGUUCAGUUAAGAAGUAUCUUGCCACAGUAUCCAGGAAGUUCAGACCUCUCUCUGGUGCCUUAAUACCUGUGACCCUCAAAAGGGUUGAAGGCCAAGCAGCUUUUGGGGGUGUGGGAGAAGGAGUAGACAAAGGUGAACUGCGUACCAGUGAGUUUUCUGCUCUCUGGAAGAGCCUGGGUGCCCUGUUGCUACUCUUUAGAAAUGUUAUACUCUUUUCUAGCCCAUGAGACUGUGGCACCCGACCUCUUCACUGACCUAGGUUUUUUCCAUGCAUCUUCUCAGUUUGUUUUUAGCUAGCAUCACUCAAAGAAGCAUUAAAAACAGGGGCCUAGUUUUUGUUUAUUUUCCAACUCAUUGUCUACUUUAUUGGCAGGGUCUUAUAAAAGAAAGGUAAGGUGUUUUGAAUCUUAGAAGAUAAAGUUCCCCGGGUCCUGAUUUUCCAAAAAACCUUAGAGUUCCCUAAGACAUACAAACUUUAAAAUCCAGUAGGCAAAGCAGGGAAGUCUGGUUCUGGAUGAAGGCAUCAGCAUUCUUCCUCUGUAGGUUUUUGUGUAUGGUCAGAGCAGGAGAAGGGGUGGGGAAUGGAGGGUGGGAAACAGAGUUGGAGGUACCUGUUUAGGGGUUAUAAAGUAGAGGUGAAGGAGAUAUAUGUGCCAAGGUGGUGGAAAUUAACAUUUUUAGGUCACUGUCCCCCACUACUUAACUGUUGGAUGGAGAAAGGAAAAAUCUUGAAAGGUGGGGCUGGCAUGUAAAAUGAGACUAUAUAUUUUUAGUGUGUCUGUGUAAGAAGUGAACUAAGAAUCUGAUUUAUCAAGUUUUAAUGGUAUUAUUCAUAUAUUUCUGGCAAAUAUCAUUUAUCAUUUUCUAGACUGCAUUAUGUCAUGUUAUUGACAAAUUAGUUGGUGAUAUUCGGGAAACUGGAAACUAGUUUGCUCAGACUGAUGCCCCGAAACUAUGUAAUGUUCUGACUACUGCUGAGAAACAGUUCUUGUGUUUCUUCAUGCCUUAUGAGUAGAGGCACUGCUUUUGUUCCAGACCAGGGCUUGGCAAACUCCAGCCUGUAAGCCAAAUCCAGUCUAUGACCUCUUUCUCUAUGGCUCUGAAGUUAAAAACAGUCUUUACAUUUUUAAAGGACUGUACACCACCACCACCAAAAGCAACAAGAAUGGCAAGGACAAAGUAGAAUAGUGGGGAGGUUUUUAAGUGCCUGACAAAACCUAAAAUUUUUACCAUCUGACCUUUUACAGAAAAGUGUGCCCGUGUUCUAGAGUAUCUUCUCAAAGAUGUUUAUAUAGUGAGCAACUUUGGAAAAUACAUACUGUCUCGCUCUGGAGCAAAGGGCAGGAAUGCUUGCUUAAAGAUUAAAUCUUAAGACAUCUGGCUUUCCUAAGCUCAGUUUCCCUCUCCUGUAAUGCAAUUCACUGUGCAUGUAGCGGUCGUGUGGCCCUUUUUGUGCUGCCCUGUGGGAACUGGGUCUCGGGAAGUCAGGACAAAAAUGAGGAUAGCCUGGGUACUCCUGCCAGGUGUCUGACUCAGAAGUCUCCCAUCUGCCGGCAUCCAUGAAACGGUGGGAGGCUAGCAUGGGAGCUUACAGGCUAAACUCUCAGACCCCUCACAAAUCUUGCCACCUACUUGAACUUGAAUCUUGAUUUACAAAACAAAACAAAACAUAAAAAAAUACCCACUCCCAAUAUUACAUGUUGAUGAGUAAUUCCAAGAUAACUAUAGAUUAUAUAUCCCAUUAGAAAUUUGGGAGGGGAAAAAUACAAAGAAGGAAUAAAAAGUAUAUUAGAAAUAUGUCUAGAAUUUUUUAAGUUUACCUUAUAUGAUAAAGUUUUCUUGAAUUGUUCACUGAAAUAGAAAAGAAAAAAAAAACACCAAAGAUUAGGAAUCCAGAUAACAAAGAUUAGGAGCAGAAAUACUCUAUUUCUAUAAUAUUAUAGAAAUACAGAAGCAACUAUAAACAAAAGUAGGUAUUUUAUCUGAGGAGUAUAUAACGUGAUCUUAAACUAAAAGCUAUGCCAGUUUGAAAUGUCUCUGUUAAAAGUAAAAAACAUACUCUCAAUAUGCUAUUGAUUUUGAAAAAAUUUUCAAAGAUUGUUUACACUAUUAGAGAUGCACAACCAUUUUUUUUUUUUCUCUUCCCCACAUGGGUGCACACAGAUCCAGGGGUUUUAAAAUGUAGGUUUUACUACUAUUUAGGUAUGGUGAGGCUAACAGAUCAAGAGAUGUUUGCCAUUGAAAAGAUAGUUUUUUUCUCAACAAUUCCCAAGAGGAGAGGGCAUGCCAUGCCACAGAGGGCCACAUGGGAAGCACCAGGGCUGUAGGAGACAGAGGGAGUGGGAUACAGUGUGGGCAAGAGUCUUUAUUAGGGAUUCCAUAGGAAGAGAUGAUAAGGCAGAAUGAGCAAGUUUAGGACUGGGUAGUUUGGAUAAUGCCAGUGGUUUGGGCGAUAGGGGCUGUCCCUAGUUGUCUAGCACCUGACACUGGGGUGCUAAAAGGCAGGGGGAUAAUGGACUGGGAUUGUCUUCCAAUGACAAAAGGAGAACAUGGCAAUAAACCUACAGAGAUAUGAAAAAGUUGACAGACACUAAAGUAAGAUUUUAAAAUCAACUAAAUGAAGCGAGAGGCUAAAUAACUCAAAUUAACAUUCUUAAAAAUCUUUAUAGUGCUAGACUUACAGAUUUAUUGCUGGUCUGUAUCUGUACAGAUUCAGAGCAGAGUGAAAUUUUAGCUAUUGAAUAAACCUUAAGUUAUGCUUAUUUGCUUUUCCAAAGCUCCUUUGGUUUUCUCUCAACUAGUUGCAAAUUGUGGUAAAGAACAAAACCAUGAAAAUAAAGAAAAAAACCAAAGACAAAGAAAAAGAAGGCUGUUAUUUGUACUGUAUUACUUUACUCAGAUGCCUUCAAAUAUAAAUUCUGAUGGGAAUUUGCUAAGAUUUCUUAAAAGUAAUCAUGCAAAUGGCCAGAGUCUUUUUUAUGAUACAUAAUACAAUUUUAAAACAAAAUAUUUAAUCUAUUCUAUAAUUAAAAUGAUCAGCAUGAUUCUCAAUAACUGUGGUUCAGAGAGAUGUCAUAAACACCGUGACACUAUCCCUCCAAUAGGUCAGGUCAAAGGGGUGAGAAGUAAAAUGUCUCCCUCUUGGAGGUGGGAUAAGCAGGACUGUAGAAACGGCUGUCCGGCUUGCAGAUUCAUCAGCUCUCAUGGGCAGUAUUUAAAAAUACUGUACCUGGCAACAGCUCACAUUUUAUUGAAUGCUUACUCUAUGCUGCUUCUAGGUGCUUUAUAUAGAUCUCAUUCAAUUCUCACAAACACCUUGAGUUGGUUCCUAUUAUAACCUUCAUUUUGUAGAUGAGAAAAUGUCGGCAAAACGAGCUGAAGUUAAUUGCCUGAGGUGACACGACUUAAAAAAGUCAGAGGAGGUCCUAAGCACUUAACCACAGCACGCACUGCCUCUCAUAGGUGAUGAGAAAGGCCGAACUAGAAAUUCAGAUUUCUAGUCAGCUCACUCUCCGACGGACUCGCUUCUAAAGUUGAGGAGCUAGAUGCCGGAGAAAAUUCAAGGAGCAGCCGGAGAGGAGAGCUUCCCGUCCUCACAUAACUCCUCAACAGCACCUGCCUUUGUGGAAAGAGGAAGGGAGUUCAAACUGAAAUCUCACUGCAACUUUGUUAUCAAAGGAGUUUCGGGCUUUAGUUCUGUUCUCCCCACAUUGGGGCCUUAGGGCGAACACGACAUUUCACCUUUUG